AAGUCGAACGGUAACAGGAAGCAGCUUGCUGCUUCGCUGACGAGUGGCGGACGGGUGAGUAAUGUCUGGGAAACUGCCUGAUGGAGGGGGAUAACUACUGGAAACGGUAGCUAAUACCGCAUAAUGUCGCAAGACCAAAGAGGGGGACCUUUGGGCCUCUUGCCAUCGGAUGUGCCCAGAUGGGAUUAGCUUGUUGGUGGGGUAACGGCUCACCAAGGCGACGAUCCCUAGCUGGUCUGAGAGGAUGACCAGCCACACUGGAACUGAGACACGGUCCAGACUCCUACGGGAGGCAGCAGUGGGGAAUAUUGCACAAUGGGCGCAAGCCUGAUGCAGCCAUGCCGCGUGUAUGAAGAAGGCCUUCGGGUUGUAAAGUACUUUCAGCGGGGAGGAAGGGAGUAAAGUUAAUACCUUUGCUCAUUGACGUUACCCGCAGAAGAAGCACCGGCUAACUCCGUGCCAGCAGCCGCGGUAAUACGGAGGGUGCAAGCGUUAAUCGGAAUUACUGGGCGUAAAGCGCACGCAGGCGGUUUGUUAAGUCAGAUGUGAAAUCCCCGGGCUCAACCUGGGAACUGCAUCUGAUACUGGCAAGCUUGAGUCUCGUAGAGGGGGGUAGAAUUCCAGGUGUAGCGGUGAAAUGCGUAGAGAUCUGGAGGAAUACCGG
rnacentral:rRNA from 1 species